rnacentral:piRNA from 1 species
UGGAAUGUAUGGAACUGUCCG